GCCUACAUUGUAUAGUGGUCAUUAUGCCUGCUUUGGGUUCUUGUGUUUAAACACCUAACACUCGAUUGCAGGAGGUCCUCGGUUCGAAUCCGAGUGUAGGCC